rnacentral:rRNA from 1 species
UAGGGAAUCUUCGGCAAUGGACGCAAGCCUGACGGAGCAACGCCGCGUGAGUGAAGAAGGAUUUCGGUUUGUAAAACUCUGUUGUUAGAGAAGAACAGCGCAUAGAGUAACUGUUAUGCGUGUGACGGUAUCUAACCAGAAAGCCACGGCUAACUACGUGCCAGCAGUCGCGGUAAUACGUAGGUGGCAAGCGUUGUCCGGAUUUAUUGGGCGUAAAGCGAGCGCAGGCGGUCAAUUAAGUCUGAUGUGAAAGCCCCCGGCUCAACCGGGGAGGGUCAUUUGAAACUGCUUGACUUGAGUGCAGAAGAGGAGAGUGGAAUUCCAGGUGUAGCGGUGAAAUGCGUAGAUAUAUGGAGGAACACCAGUAGCGAAGGCGACUCUCUGGGCUGUAACUGACGCUGAGGCUCGAAAGCGUGGGUAGCAAACAGG